ensembl:lncRNA
GGACACGACAGCCACAGGGCUGUCGCCAGAACUGAUACGCUGCGGCCCAGGGCUUCUGGGCAGCUGCCAUAACACUGCCACGAGCAGAGGAAAGAGAAGUUGGGCCACGAGCAGGAAAAAGUGCAACUACAGACGGCGGAGACGGUAGCAUUGCACUCGACGGAAUCGCAACCGUGUGUGAAACUGGCAUGGAAGAAGACCGACCAGGACAUGCGCCUUCCGACGAAUGAACUGGGAGCCUGGGAAGGGCCUCUACAUUGGAUUGGUCUAUAGAGUGAACUACUGACUUCAAACUCACCCUAAACCAAGGCUCUAAUAAGAAAAACACCAGUGCAGGGACAAGAAGAAGACAACAUCAGAAGCAGUCCACUAUCC